rnacentral:rRNA from 1 species
GUAGGUGGCAAGCGUUAUCCGGAAUUAUUGGGGCGUAAAGCGCGCGCAGGCGGUUUUCUUAAGUCUGAUGUGAAAGCCCACGGGCUCAACCGUGGGAGGGUCAUUGGAAACUGGGGAACUUGAGUGCAGAAGAGAAAAGCGGAAUUCCACGUGUAGCGGUGAAAUGCGUAGAGAUGUGGAGGAACACCAGUGGCGAAGGCGGCUUCUUGGUCUGUAACUGACGCUGAGGCGCGAAAGCGUGGGGAGCAAACAGGAUUAGAUACCCUGGUAGUCCACGCCGUAAACGAUGAGUGCUAAGUGUUAGAGGGUUUCCGCCCUUUAGUGCUGCAGCUAACGCAUUAAGCACUCCGCCUGGGGAGUACGGUCGCAAAGACUG